rnacentral:rRNA from 1 species
GUCUACGGCCAUACCACCCUGAGUGCGACUGAUCUCGUCUGAUCUCAGAAGCUAAACAGGGAUGGGAGACUGCCUGGGAAUAUCAGGUGUUGUAGGCA